rnacentral:rRNA from 1 species
CGGGACGGGUGAGUAAUGUCUGGGAAACUGCCUGAUGGAGGGGGGUAACUACUGGAAACGGUAGCUAAUACCGCAUAAUGUCGCAAGACCAAAGAGGGGGACCUUCGGGCCUCUUGCCAUCGGAUGUGCCCAGAUGGGAUUAGCUAGUAGGUGGGGUAACGGCUCACCUAGGCGACGAUCCCUAGCUGGUCUGAGAGGAUGACCAGCCACACUGGAACUGAGACACGGUCCAG